GGUGAAGGCACUAGGGUAACAUUGUUGAUUGUUGAUUGUUAGGAUAACUGUCAUUUGUAUAUGCAAACUUGUCCAUUGAUACCGUAAUGUUAUUCAUAGACCCUCUCGUCUCAAUUUGAUAAGUGGUGUACACACGUUUGUUUUGUAGUAAGAAAAAGGAGGAUAUCGAACUUGUGAGAUGAAUUGUCUAAAAGCCUUGUGACUGCCGUAGUUUCCUAGUUUUCUUUUGUUUAAGCAUCAUGAUAGUAUAGUUUUUAUUUUGUUGCUUGAGGACCAAAAAUGUUCUUAGUUGAAGGAGUUGAUGUGCUAUGAUUUUAUGAAACUUCCAAAGCCCAAAAUAAGGGAUUGGUAUACGUUCGUAGUACUUUUUGGUAGAUAUGAUGUAUGUUUGUGAGUUUUUGCAGAAAACAGGUAUCAGAAGUGAACAACAAAAAAAGACUGAAAAAGUAAUGUUGACUCUUGGAGCUAAGGUACGACUCGUAGGGUCAAGGAACAAAUCAUACCAAGGCCCAUUCCGAUGACCAAAAAACAAGUCCUGAAGACUGAAAUCCAAGUAUAAAAUACGAAUGCUAGAUAUGACUCGUGAAGUCAAGCCACGAGUCCAUUUGACCUAUUCUAAGAAGUCAUGAAUUAGAAAAGCAAAAAAAUCAAUGAACACAAAUGGAAUGAAUAACUCGUGAAGUCAACAUACGGGUCAUGCUCACUCAUUCGGAUGGAUCGUGGAAAGAAGAAACAGAAGGUUGAAAAGUUAAGAGUUAGUCACCAUAGAAGAAAGCUACGAUUCGUGAGAAGAAGGCACGAGUCAUGGUGACUGGUUCUGAGAUGUCGUAGGAAGCAGUUACUGAAAAUGUGCAAAACAAGACCCAAUGGAUACGAGUCUUUGUAUGACUCUUAUGAUCAAAGAACGAGUCAUAUUGAGCAAUAGCAACAAAAUUCAAGACGAAUGAAGAAUGAACAACGACCUAGACCCACGAGUCGAGAGGACACCCUACAACUCAUAGGCAUUUUCAAACCUCCAUUCUUAUUGUGUUUAUGAUAAGUUUUGUUUUAUAUAUAAAUACUUUUCCUAAGUUCUCUUUUAUUUUUAUACUUAUUACGCUCUUUGAAACCUUAGAAACAUAUAAAUGGUUGUGUUCUUGAAUUUUGAAGAAUUUUUUUUUUGAUAAAUAAAGAUUUUUAUUAGUACCAAAGUGAGUCCAUUACAAAGAGCUGACCUCUUGCCUCUUAGAAAAGAAAAAAUAAUCUAUACACUAGCCCUUUUAUCUAUUACAUAUUCGGAUUCUAUCAUGACACUAGCAGUACUUAUGGAAAUUUAUUCAAUUGUUGAAGUUGAGUCUGCCAGCGAGUAUUUCCCCUACCAGUGAUGUGCAUAUGUAGUGCAAUUUUCCUGUAUAACAUGUCUGCAUAGUAGUGUGCAGCUUGAAACCUUAUUCUAUUUCUUUCUCUCCAUAUUAUAUUCACUAGCAUACCAAACACACAACAAAUGAUAGCUCCUUUACCUGUCUUCUUUUUUGCUAUGUGGUUGACUACUGUACCUCUUCUUGCCAGCAGCCAAUAGUCCUCUGAAUUUUCAACCAUGUCAGUAAUCUUUGCCAUAGACUUAGUCACGUAGCAAUCAAAGAGUAAGAGGUACAAUGUUCCUGUAGUUGAAUCACAGAAUAUGUAAUUUUAAGGCACAUAAAAUGCCAAAUUUCAGCAGCCUAUCCAUAGUUGCUAACCUUCUUCUUAUAGCCAUCCAUAAGAUAAAUUUAUGUUGGGGAUGAAUAUGUUAUUGAAGUAUUAUGAUCUUCCAGGGUACCUUUUUGUACUGGAGUAGCAGCUAAUUUCCUGAUGCUAAGCUAGCCAUUGACUACCACAGUUUUGAAUCUAGUCUCAAGGAUUCCCUGCAAAGUUGGGCAUUGCAUAAUAAUUCUCUUGAUGCUAUAUUUUCCGGAUGACCUAUGUUGCAUUUGCUGGAAUAUGGCAUGUCUCUACUGUCUCAUAUCUACUUGAUCCAAAGGCAUUCCUUCUUCUCAUUGAUUGCCUAUAAUAGUUUUAAGAUUGAUGUCGUGUUCCACAGUCUCACAUUCUACAUAUUUAUCCCUCCUGCUACUUGAGGCAUGCAUAAUUUAUCCCAAGACACAAGGGACUUUCUGGAUAUCUCUGUAGAACCUUUCCACAAGAAAGUUCUACUAAUGGCUUCUAUCAUUUUCAAGAUUUUUUUGGGUAGGACAAACAUUUGUGCCCACUAAGUUUGUAUACUGAGUACCAUUGCCUUGAGCAACUGUAGUCUACCAGCAUAAGACAGUAAUUCUGCAGACCAACAUCGGAUUCUCUCUGUUAUCUUUUCCACUAGGGGUAUACAUUGACUCACUAUGAGUUUUUUGAAGAGAGGGACCCCCAGGAAUUUGAAUGGGAUUUAUCCUUCCCUGUAUCCAAGUGCCUGCAGUAGUUCUUGCUUUUGCUGAGGUUUUACACCUACCAUAUACAAGGAGCUCUUCUCCGGGCUUGCUUGAAGGCCUGAUGCAGUUGAGAAUCUUGCAAAAGCCUCUUGCAACAGGUGUAUUAACUUCAGUUUAGCCUUACUGAACAUUAGCAAAUCAUCUACAAAACUGAUGUGAACCACACCCAUCCUUUUACAAAUGGGAUGAUGCCUGAAAUCUUUGUGUUGCUGCACAAGUUGGAAUUUUCUAUAGAGAUAUUCCAUUUCAAUAACAAAAAGGUAAGGGGACAUAAGGUCCCCUUGUCUUAUGAAAUGGCUUUGACAGGCAACCAUUGAUCACAAGGGAAUAAGAAACAGAAGUCACACAUUCCAUAAUCCAUACUAUGAAUUUUCUUGGAAAACCUAAUUCAGCUAAUAGCACCUUCAGAAAACCCUACUCAAUUGAGUCAUAAGCCUUCCUAAGAUAAACUUUCAUGACACAGCUAGGUAAUAGUCCUUUCUUGGAGUACCACUUAAAAAUUUCAUGAUUGAAAAAGAUGUUGUCUGCUAUGUUCCUACCUUCCACAAAAGCUGAUUGGGAGGGGUUUAUAUAUGCUGGGCAACACUUUUGAUUCUAUUAGUAAGGAUCUUGGUGUUUAUUUUGUAGACUGUAGUGCAACAAACUGUAGGUCUAUAAUCCCUCACAUAAGUUGAAUUGGUUACUUUAGGGAUUAAGGUCAAAACUGUACGGCUAAAAGACCUCAAAAGUUUUCCAGAUUCAAAAAAUUCCUUAACAACAUCAAUUACAUCCUGUUUUAUUAUGGACCAAUUUUACUCAGCUGGGAAACCAUCAAUACCUGGGGAUUUAUCAUGUGGCAUGCUUUUUAUGAUUGCAUAGAUUUCCUGCUCAGUAAUAUGAGUGAUUAGCUUGCAUUUCUAAUCAUAGGAAAGGCAGGGUCAACUUCUGAUAACUUCAACAUUUGGACAAGGUAGUUCUGUUCCAGCUGUUCCCAUAAGGUUUGAAAAGAAUCUGGUGAAUUCAGCUUCCACCUACACUGGAUCUUCUAACCUGUUCCUCUGUUCAUCAUAGAUACUAGUAAUGGCAUUUUUGUUUGUCUGGAUCUUCAAUUAUGCAUGGAAGUACUUUGUGUUUGCAUCUCCCCAUCUAUCCAAUUGACUCUAGCUUUCUGCCUAUAAACCUGCUCCUCAAUUUUAUUCCAUUUCUUGAGUUCAGUCAACCAGGUGCUUUCUUGUUCAAUUAAUGUGGGACACAGGGGCUUUAUAAUGAGCAGUCCUUGAGUGAUCUCAAGGCCUUAUCUAGCUUUCUGGAUCCUCUGAAUGUAGGAAGCUAAGUAAUUGUUCAACCCCUUUAGAACUUUCUGCAUUGACUUUAGUUUAUACCAUAGGAUGAACAUAUUAGUCCCCUGACAUGAAGUAUUCCAUGUAUCUUAUAGAAUCCUACCAAAGUUAGAGUAAUUUUAGCACUGUCGUGUAUAAUUUGAAAGGUUUUGGACUUAUUGGUGGCUGAGAGCAUAUGCUGACAACUAUGGGGGAAUGAUCAGAUACUCCAAGAUUCAAAUACUCUGCCUCUACAUGACCAUAAGUAGAUAUCCAGCGAGAGUUGCCAAAUGCCCAAUUUAUUUGGAAUGCACUCUACUACUAGGGUACUACCUAUUGUAGAAAGUGAAAUAACAACCCUUAGCUUUGAGUACUGUGAGGGAGAGGGUAUUGCUACAUCCUUGGAAGCUGUUAACUUCACUAGGCAGAACAGGUGAGCCAAUUCUAUCUUCUACUGUCAAAACAUUAUUGAAAUCACCACUUAGCAACCAGGCAUUCUAAACAUGUUGUCCCAGUUGAAUUAAGUCUUGACACAAUACUUCCCUAUUUUGACUUUCACUUCUAGUAUAUAUUAUAGUAAGGUAAAACUAGAUGUGGUUUAUAGGGACCUCUAGCUUACAAUGUAGAAAUUGUUCAUGGAGGAGUUCAACCUGCAAGCUGAUGUUUGCCUUCCAGAAUAUCCACACCCUACCACUCUAGGCCAUAAGGUAGUUGAAUCUAUGAUUCCAUCCACUUGCAACCUUCUCUAUUACCUUUUUUUAUUUAUUUUCUUUCACUCUAGUCUCAAACAUACCCAUUAUUUCAACUUUAUUCUUCUGCAGAAAGAAUUUUAGCUCUUUCUAUUUUGAGGACUGGUUCAACCCUCUUAUAUUCUAAGUUGCUACUAUCAUGGAGCUUUGUGAUAUAUCUCCUUAUUUCCAGCAUUACUAGUACCUUCCUACAUUAACACUGAAAAUCUAUUCACUAUGUUGCUGGUACUGGUUUUUAUCUCUUUUCUUUUAGUGCUUCUGAUAGUAGUGACCUCUUGGUCAUGUAUGAUUUCAUUUUCCUUUUCAUUCUGUACCUCCAGUGAAGUUUUCUCCAUGUACUUUAUUUUUGUUCUUUCUUCUUUGCCUUUUCUUCACUUCCUGGAAUUUAUAAUCCUUUGUUGAGUUUUCUUUCAUCCAACAAUCAGAUGUUGUGUGACCAAAUUUCAAAAAUUCACUAAAAAACUUAAUUAAUUUAUACUCAACAGGUUGUUGAAAGCUUCCCCCCCGGAGUUAUUAGUUAAACAGUGUAUAGGAGUGGUUGGGCAACAUCCACUUCAACCAGAAUCCUAGCAUAAGAUAUACUACUCAUAUUCACAUUAAAUUGAUCCGUAUAUAAUGGUUUUCCCACUGCACUUGCAACUUUACUGAGGGCUUCAGUUGAACAGUAGCCCACUGGAAGACUUGAGAAAGUUACCCAUAAUAGAAUUUUAGUAAUUCAAUCAGGUUUGAAGAUGAAAUUCACCUGGCAGUCAUGACGUAAAAGGGCUUGUUGUGGAAUGUGUAUGGGCCAGCCUGCUUCACCCUUCACAAUCCUCCAUAGAAUUAAAUCUAAAGAUGAAGUAGCCCUCAUUAUGUAGUAGUACCUGGGGUUUUUGGGCAAAACUCCAUGCCUGUGAGAUGUAACUUUUCAUUGCUUUCAGGUAUGGUGUAUUGCCUAUGACGUAUCCAAUAAUGGCUAUUUUCCAGUACUUCUCUUGUUCUUUGAGGUCAUACGCCUCAAUAUUUACUAUAAGUUUUCCUUCUUUCGAGCUCGGUGGGACAUAAGACAGCUUCUUACCUCGUUGUAUAGUGCGAUUCUCAUGUUUCUCUGACUUGUCCACAAGAGUUGGGUGGGUUGAAGUACCCACCUUUGAAAAUUGCAAUCAUCGAGCUGCCUGUGCCAUUGUUGGUGGUCCGAAAGAUUGCAGGUAGAGUGAUUUCUGCGACUAUGAUUCCAAUUAACUAUCUUCCUUACCUUCCAAGAUUGACUGUAUCUGAGAUGGGAUGAAACUACCGAAGGUCAGUGAGCCUAAUUGGGUGCUCUGGAGUUACCAAUUUCUCCGUUAGUUUACCCUUCCUGGUUUUUCGAUGUCGAGGUAUGUUGUGGCUUCUGUCGGUGCACAUUAGCAUAUCCUAGCUAAAAUGCGUUGAGAGAGAAACAUGACCUCCUUUCUCUGGGUUAUUCAAUGUAUGAAGAAGUAUUCAUACAUUGAUUCUUGGUUAUUCAAUUUUCUUUGAUAAUUCAAGUCUCUGGAUUUCAUCUACUCAAUCUCGUAAGUUUAUAAUUACAAUUUUGUCUAUAACUUCUAAUUGGAAUUCUGAGAGUAUUAGUAGUUUAAUCCACAACUAGGAUUGUGGGAACCAUGAUAUAUUAAAAAAAUAGACUAAACUACUUAUUGAUAGUGUUUAUGCAUUUAUUGUUCUUUCCUUUGUAUUAGUUGCUUUUUAACAAGUGGUACACAGUAAAACUUGCAUUAUUUUUGCUUGUUGGGCCAAAGAGGUAAUGAAUGAAAAAAGAGAUUAAUAACAGAGGUUUGAGGGUAUCAACCCUCAUUGAGUAGCUUAAGCCCUGUUCAGAAAUAGUUAAUUUGAAAUCAAGGGUAAGAGUUAGUAAAGCACACACUCAUAGACGGACCAAGUUGCACAGUGAUAUUCAUCUAUCGAAGGACCAAUAAUUUAGGUGAACUUGACUUACUAGUUUUUCAUUCUAAGAACUAAGAUAGAUCACUAUACGACACACUUACUAAGUUAUGAAAUAAUGGGGAACACAAUCCUAGUCAAUUCUCUUUAAUUUUCUCAAUAUACUCAGAUAACUAUUUACUUAUUACUUCAAUUUGCAAACUAUUUACUUGUUCAUUUAAAUCCCCCAAUUACAUAUAAAUGACUAAAAUCAUAAAUAACCAUAUUGACCUAGUCCUAACCAUAUUUCUUGUAGGAUCGACCCAACCUCAAUUGGAUUCUAUAUUUGAAUAUCAAUUGAUUUAUAAUUCAUUUUAGAGGUAUAAUUUGGGUAACAUCAACAACUUGGAAUAAUCCUCUGCUGAAUCUCUAGCCUUGACAGGUAAGAAGUGAGUUGACUUAGUUAUUCUAUCUACAAUCACUCAAAUUAAGCUAUAUAGUUGAUGCUUACGUGGUAGGCCAGUUAUGAAAUCCAUAUUAAUUAUCUUUAAUUUCCAUCUAGGAAUGUUUAUAUCGUGAGCCUUACUAUUGGGCCUUUGAUGUUCAACCUUCUUUUCCUGACAGUUGGGACACUUUGCUAUAAAAUUUGCAAUGUCCUUUUUUGUACCACACCAUCAAAAGAUUUCUCUCAAACCACGGUACAUCUUGGUGGAACUUGGAUAAUAAAGUAUCUAGAAUUGUGAGCCUAUAUCAAAAUCUACUCUCUCAACCCAUCUAUAUUUGGAGCAGAUAAUCUACUAUAAUACCAAUGAAUACCAUUCUCCCCAUGACAAAAAACUUAAACUUUUUUCUUACAGACUGCAUCCUUCACUAUCUUGCUUCUCCUUUAUCUUAAUCACGAAAGAGGACUCAAAACCAUUCUACACUAUUACACCACCAAAUGUGCGAGUCUAUGUGAAUCCUUUACAAGCUCUUUCUUACCUUACUUACUUCACAAGCUCUUUAUUACCUUAUUCUAUAUGAGCAACACUCCUCAUAGACACCCUUCUAAGAGCAUCAACAACAACAACUUUUGUCUUUCCCAGAUGGUAUAACAUACUUAUGUCAUAAUCCUUGAGAAGUUCAAGAUAUAUUCUCCAAUGAAGAUUCAACUCUUUUGACUAAAGAAAUAUUACAAGAUCUUAUGAUCUGUGAAGAUAUCAACAUGCGAACUAUAAAGUUAAUGACACUAAACUUUCAAAGAAAAUACCACCGCUUCUAACUCAAGGUCAUGAGUGGUGUAGUUAUUCUCAUGAUUCUUAAGUUGUAUAGAAGUAUAGUAAAUGACCCUUCUGCAUGAAAACACAACCAAGGCAAACUCUAAAAGUGUCAUAACAAAUCAUAAAAUCAUUUGUACCCUUUGAAAAAGUCAAAAUUGGGGUAGAAGUCAAUCAAUCCUUCAACUUCUUAAUGCUCUUCUCAUAAAAUCAGACCACUAGAACAUAAUCUUUUUAUAUGUAAAAUAUAUCAAAAGGGUAGCAAUAGAUGAGAACCCCUUAAGACACCUCUUGUAGUAACCAGCUAAACUCAAAAAGCUCCUAAUAUUUGUCCAAGUAGUGGUAGGCCUAGCCCAAUUUUCCAUCACCUUAAUCUUUUGAGAGUCAAUCUGAAUACCGUCACUUGAAAUAACAUGCCCAAGAAAAGAAAUUGAUCUAGUCAAAAUUCAUACUGAAAGAACUUAAUGAACAACUAUCUAUCCCCAAGAGUCUUAAGAACAAUCUGAGGUGAUCAACUUGUGCUUCCUUACUACGGGAGUAGAUCAGGAUAUCAUCCCCGUAGAUCAGGAUAUCAUCUAUAGAAUUGCUAAUGAACAUGUCAAGGUAUUAUAUUCUAUUCAUGAGGUCCAUAAAAGAUGAAGGAGCAUUUUUUAGUCAAAACUACAUAAAAAGAAACUCAUAGUGACCACACCAAGUUUAGAAAGAUGUAUUCAAAAUGUCACUCUCUAACCUUUAACUUAUGGUACCCGAAUUUGGGAUCAAUCUUAGACAAAUAAGUAGAAUACUAUAUCUGGUUAAACUUGUCAUCAAUUUUAGGAAUUGGAUACUUAUUCUUAAUUGUGACCUUGUUCAAAUGAUGGUAAUUAAUACACAUUUUGAGGGAACCAUCUUUCUUAUGCACAAAGAGGAUCGGGGCACCCCAUAGGAAAACACUGGGUUUGAUGAAUUCCUUGUCUAGAAGGUCUUUAACUAUUCUUUCAAUUCUUUUGACUUGACUUAGGCAUUCUAUAUGGUAGAAUAGAGAUAGGUUGCAUAUUAGGAAGAAUAUUUAUUCUAAAGUUUGUCUCCAUGUCAAGAGGGACUCCGGGAAUAUUGUUACGAGACUUCUGGAAACUCAUUGACUAUAGGAACUGACUGAAAAGAUGGAGUCUCAAACUUAGAAUCUUUACCCCAAACUAGAUGGUAGAUAUACCCCAUAUAGAUCAUCUUUUUAGUUAUAAGGUAUGAAAUCGAAUGACCCUUACGAACAGUAGGAAUACCCUUUCGCUCUAUGACUUGCUCAUUAGGACACUUAAACUUUGUAACUCUGACUCUACAAUCAAUUAAGGCAUAGCAAGAAUGUAAUAAAUCAAUGACAAGAAUGACAUCCAAGUUUGAUAUAUCUAACUCUACUAGAUAAGUUGUGGUAUCUUUAUGAUAGAUUGAAACAACACAACUUUUAUAUAUUCUUUUUAUUAUAAUUGACUCUUCUGAUGGAUUAGAAAUAGAAAAUAGUUCUAGGAGUUGUUCAGGACCAAUUUCAAACUUUACAGCAACAGAAGAGUUACAAAGGACAAAGUGUCUCCAAGGUCUAACAAGCAUAAAUAUCAAGAAAGAAAACUUUUAACAUACCAAUAACAAUAUUUGGGGAACUCUUCCGAUUUUAACAAAAAUAUAAGGUAUAUAAGCGUUAUGAUACCGUUUGUACCAGAGGUGGUACAUUUUUUAGUAUUCUAGCUUGGUGGAGUUGAUGAUAUAGUGGACUAAGUUCUUUUAUCCUCAUUGAGUUGUAUAGGUGAGAGGUAAUACUUAUGCAUAUGACCCUUCUGACCAUAUUAGUAACAAACAUGCCACCAUAAACACACUCAAAAAGAUAAUUCUUACCGCACUUGCUGCAAACAGAUUAAGAUAGGUACCCUCUUCCAACACAGUAAUGACCCGAGACUACCCCAUAGUCAUUACAUGGUGCUUACGGUUUUAAGGGACGACAAGCUAACCUAUGAGUUGGUACCUUCUGUGAGCACUGAAUAAUAUAAUCAUGAAUGCGGAAGAAUAACUAAAAUACUAUAAGGUUUUAAUAAUGAAAUAUCUACUGAAUUAUGAAUCUGAUAAAAAUACUGAAAUCUGAAUAGUCUGAAUAGCUAACUGUAGUGUCUGAAAAACCUCUAAAUUGAAUACUAUGAGUUGAUGGGACAGGCCCCCAACCAACUCUAUUAACUUCUGAGAUAAAGACAUGAAGUAAUAUAAUCUAUCCUCGGAUGAUGAGGACUUACCACUGCUACUGUACUGCUGAUAAUCUAAGAAUCUAGGUGCGAUCCGAGAACUGAGCGUCAGCACCUAUGAUAUGAGACAUCAUAGCACAAAAGAAAAGUAUGCAAUUAGCGCUUUGAAUGUAAUAGUAUGCUAAAUGAGGUAGGCUGAUAUGCAAGGUUUCAUGAAUAGGAGUAAUAAACUAUCUGAAUACACAUGUAAAGCUUGUAGUACUGAGUAUUGGACAUGAAUCCAUAGAUACUGAAAAUAUGGAGAAUCUGUAUAGACUGAGUAUGCAUGACGGUUUGUAAAUACUAAAGAUACGUAAAAAUCCAUAAAUACUGGGGAUGUAUGACCAUGCAUAUAACAUGGACUGAGUAAGAUUUGUAAACUGAAGUACUGAAAUAAGUAGUGUCUGUAUGCUUGGGUCAAACAACACUAAAACUGAAUGACUAACUGGAGUUGUAACUGAGACUGCAUCUGAGACUGUGGGAGGUAUCAUCUAACUGACAUUCCCCAAUUUAAGCUAAUCAGGGUCCAACCUAUAAUCAAGUGGUAAGGGUGUUAAUAUCAUAUCACAGGUAAUAACAAUGGUUAUGUGGAUCUACUAAACUAAUCUAAUGUCCAUAGGACUAAGGGUAUCAAGCCUGAACUGACGAGUGACCCCUGCAAAAUAGUCAAGUCUAAUCUGAUAAGUGACUACUCAUAUCUUACACUGGCUAUGUGGUUUCGGGGUAUAGGGACUACUACUAACUACUCUGCCUAUCUGACGGGGAAGUCGUCAUCCCUACACUCGCUCGGUGCUAAAUCCUACUCCUAACUGAAAGACUUUGAAAUAAUACUAGACUAUUUUGAGUUUAAAUGAUUGUUCUGAUAAUGCUCAUAAUAUAAUCUGAAUUUAUUCUGAAGAUACUGCAAUGAGAUUAAGUAAAUAUCUAUGGUUUUUGGGUAUUCAAUACACCCAGGACUCAAAAUAAUAAUACUGAAAAGACACUAAAGGUUAAGGGACAAAGCAUGAAGGUUUUUAUUAAAUCAAUCACUUUUGUAGGCAUUUUAUCAAACACUUGUAGUUCAUGGUUCAAAACAAUCAUAAGAAUGUCCUAAAACAUAUAGAAAUAGCAUGAAUCUAUCAUAAUAGAGUUAAAUCAUAGCUUUGUUCAAUAAAUAAUAAUAUUAAAACAUGGAGAAUUGAAUAAUAAUAAUAAUUUCAUGGUAACAUGGUAUGGAAUCACUAGUACUCAUGGAUGAGAACAUACUUUAAACCAAUUAACUUGAAAAGAUAAUAAUUUUAUAGUUUAAAAAGGGUUGCUUGAACUCCAUGGAUGAAAGGAAUCCAUAGAUGAACAUCUAACAUACCUGGGAUGAUGAAUUUGGAAGGAUUGAUGGAGAGUUCUUGAGGUUUGACCUUGAUUCUUGAAGGUUAGGGUUUUGUUACUUGAGAGAAUGUUCUUGAUUUUGGGGAAAAUUGAUUAGAAUAAUACCCAAUUAGGUUAUUAGGGACUUAAUUUCGUGUUUGGGGCUGACUGGGACAAUGGAAAAGUACUUAAAAGCCCUUGAAAUUAACUGAAAAUCCUGAUUUUUUGGGCUGGCGCGAUGCGGCGCUAUCGCGCCGUGUCACUGGAAUCGGACAACUGGGAAACUGGUCUGUGGCGUGACGUGGGAAAAUCACGGUCCUUCACUGAUUGGGACCUGAAAUUUCACCGCGAUGUGGUGGUAUCGCGCUUCGACACUGGAAAUGUACAAAUGUCAAGUUGGCUUAUGGCGCGACGCGCCAGGAUCGCAGACCUUCACUGGAAUUUGCCAAAUGGGAGAUUGGCCUGCUCCGCAACACACUAAAGGUUAAAAUGACAGUGUUUAAUGACUAAAACUUAAAAUCGCCAUAUAUUCUUAACCGGUUAUUUGAUUUGGGCAAAUUUAAUAUUGGUUGAAAGCUAAUUGAAUUUCCUAGGCAAUGGCAGGCUCUAAAUUGAAAAAUAAUGAGUGUUUCAAAAAAUUCAUAUACGAAUACUAAUGUAUUGGGACUUAGAUUAUGCUAGGGAAAUACGGGGUGUUACAAUAUCUCCCCCUUGGGAUCAUUCAUCCCCAAAUGAAACUGGUUAAGCUGAGGAAAUUGAUGGACUGAGCUUACUCACUGAAUAUGCAUGUUUGAUGCAUAAAAUCCAUGACUGAACUGAUUCAUGAAUGCACUACUGGCAUGAACAUGAUGUGCAGCUGAAACUGAGCAUGAUAUUGAAAAAUCUUAAGAAGAUUGGUACCUUAUACUGAAUCUGGAUUCAUGGAGAAAAGAUGAGGGUACUUGGUGCGCAUAUCUGCCUCUGCUUCCCAAGUGGCUCCCUCAACGGACUGAUUUCGCCAAAGAACUUUGACUCGUGGAACUUCUUUGUUCCUUAGUCUACGAACUUGAUGAUCAAGAAUUUCAAUUGGAACUUCCUCAAAGGAAAGACUGUUCUGAAUAUCUAAAUUUUCUAGGGAAACAACCACAUCUGGAUCACCGAUACAUUUUUUCAACAAUGAGACAUGGAACACUGGGUGUACUGAGGCUAAUUCUGAAGGCAACUCAAGCUCGUAAGCUACCUUUCCAAAAUGACUUAGAAUUCUGAAGGGACUGACAUAUCGAGGACUAAGUUUCCCUUUCUUGCCAAAUUUCUUCACUUCUUUCAUAGGAGAGAUUUUCAAGUACACAAAAUCACCGACCUCAAACUCGAGAUCCUUUCUCCUUAUGUCUGCAUAUGAUCUUUGUUAGCUCUGGACAGCCCUAAGCCUCUCUCUAAUUAACUGAACCUUCUCCAACAUAUCAAAGACCAAGUCAGGACCUACUACAGCGGCCUCACCUACUUCAAACCAAUCAAUUGGAGAUCUACAUCUCCUACCAUGGAGAGCCUCAAACGGAGCCAUACGGAUACUGAAAUGAUAGUUGUUAUUGUACAUGAAUUCAAUCAAAGGAAAAUAGUUAUCCCAACUACCCUUGAAAUCAACAAUGCAUGCUCUUAGCAUAUCCUCAAGAGUCUGGAUGAUUCUUUCUGCUUGACCAUCUAUUUGAGGGUGGAAAGGUGUACUGAGAUGGACUUGGGUACCAAGACCCUUUUGGAAUGCUUUCCAGAAGUGAGAUGCAAAAUAGGUACCUCUGUCUGAGAUUAUAGAUAAGGGAACACCGUGCAACCUAACCAACUCUUUGAGAUAGAGUUUGGCAUAGUCCUUGGCUGAAUAAGAGGUAUGGACGGGAAAGAAAUAAGCUGAUUUGGUCAUCCUAUUUACGAUAACCCAAAUGGAAUCAUGCUGAUGACGGGUACGAGGCAAACCUGUCACAAAGUCCAUGUUCACUUCAUCCCAUUUCCACAUGGGAAUACUGAACUCCUGCAUGGACCUACUAGGCUUCUGGUGCUUAACCUUAACUUGCUGACAUGUAGAGAACUUAGCUAAAAACUCUGCAAUAUCUUUCUUCAUCCCACGCUACCAAUAGAUCUCCUGUAAAUUAUGAUACAUCUUAGUGGCCCUUGGAUGAAUCGAGUAACGUGUACCAUAUGCUUCUAUAAUAAUUCAUUGCCUUAAAUCAUCUACACCAGGCACACAUAAUCUACCCUAACAGCGCAACACACUAUCUCUCCUUUAGGAGAACACCUCUACUUUCUAAUCUUUGACUGAAUCUUUUAACUUAACUAGACUGGGAUCUUUAUCCUGCUUUUCCUUCACCUCGGAUACUAGAGAUGACUCUGAGCUACUCUGCACCCAUACACUACCUUUUAUUGAAUAGACUAAGCAGACACCUAGUUGGGCAAGCUGAUGAACUUUUUGAGCCAACUUCUUCUUACCAUCUUUAACAUGAGCUACACUACCCAUAGAUAUUCUACUGAGAGCAUUAGCCACUAUAUUGGCCUUGCCCGAAUGAUACAGAAAACUCAUGUCAUAAUCUUUUAAUAACUCUAACCACUUUCUUUGAUGCAAAUUCAAAUCUUUCUCAGAGAACACAUACUGAAGGCUUUUGUGAUCUAUGAACACAUCUACAUGCACCCCAUAUAAGUAAUUCCUCCAAAUCUUUAAGGUGAAUACUAUUGCUACUAGCUCAAGAUCAUGAGUCGGAUAAUUCUUCUCAUGAGGCUUAAGUUGUAUGAAGGCAUAGGCCAUGACCUUACCUCUUUGCAUGAGGACACAAACCAAACCUAAUCUGGACAUAUCACAGUACACAACAAACCCAUCGAAACUAUCUGGCAGAGUAAGAACUCCAGCUAAGGUGAGUCGAGUCUUCAACUCCUGAAAACUCUUCUCACAGGAAUCUGAUCACUAAAACUUAAAUUUCUUUUGAGUCAAUCUAGAUAUGGGGGAUUCCAUAGAAGAAAACCCUUCAACAAAUCAAUGAUAAUAGCCAUCCAAACCCAAGAAACUCUUGAUAUCUGAUGGAGAGAUAGAUCUAGGCUAGUUUCUCACCGCUUUAGUCUUUUAAAGAUCGACUCUAUUGCCAUCACCGAAAAUGAUAUGGCUAAGAAAAGCUACUGAUCUUAGCUAGAAUUCACACUUACUGAAUUUAGCAAACAACUAGUGAGCUCUAAGAGUUUGUAACACUAUCCUGAGAUGGUCUGCAUGAUCAUUUUUGUUACGGGAGUAAGCAAGAAUGCCAUUAAUGAAGACUAUGAUGAACAUGUCCAAGUACUGCUUGAAUACUCAAUUCAUAAAGUCUAUGAAGGUUGAUGGGGCAUUCGUAAGACCAAAGGACAUGACUAGAAAUUUGAAAUGACAUACCGAGUUUGAAAAGCUAUUUUUGGAAUGUCAUGUUCGCUGAACCUAACCUGAUAAUAGCUGAUCUGAGGUUUAUCUUGGAAAAGUAACUGGCACCCUGAAGUUGGUCGAACAAGUCAUUGAUUCUAGGAAGUGGGUAUUUAUUCUUUACUGUGACUUUGUUACGCACGAAUAGAAUAGGUGUGCCCCAUGGGGAGAUGCUGGGUCUGCUGAAUCUUUUAUCUAAAAAAUCCUUCAACUGUUCUUUCAGUUCUUUGAGUUCAGCUGGAUCCAUUCUGUAUGGCAGAAUACAUAUAGGCUGAGUAUCUGGGAAAAGGUCUAUUCCAAAGUCGAUCUCCCUUUCGGAAGGAACUCCAGGGAGAUCUUUAGGGAAUACAUUUGAGAAUUCAUUUACUACUGGGACUGACUAAAGAGUAGGAGUUUCUGAGUUAGAGUCUCUGACUCGAACAUGAUGGUAAAUACACCCCUUUGAUAUCAUCUUUCUAGUUCUAAGGUAUGAGAUCAACUAACCCCUAAGAGCUGUAGUACUACCCCUCCAUUUAAGGACUAGUUCAUUUGGGAACUAAAAAUAAACUAUUCUAUUUCUACAAUCAACUGAGGCAUAGCAUGAGUUGAGCCAAUUCAUACCGAGAAUAAUGUCAAAAUCUGUCAUCUCUAACUCCACGAGAUAAAUUAAGGUAACUUUUUAAGAUAUUGUGACCAGAUAGUUCUUGUAUACCUGUCUGGCUAUAAUGGAAACAUCUAUUGGGGUAGACACUAAAAAAGGCUCAGCUAGAUUUUUGGGACUGACUCUAAAAUUGACGGCUAUAUAUGGAGUUACAAAAGAAAGAGAAGCUCUAAGGUCUAGUAAAGCAUAAACAUAUAAGUGAAAAACCUGCAACAUACAGUAACUAUGUCAGGAGAAUUUUACUGAUCUUAACAGGACUAAAGAGCAUAUUAUUUGUUUGGACACUGACCACUGGUAGCACUGGAAGUGGCACCCUGCUGAGUUGGGCGGCUGGAUGGAACUGACGACUGAUGGGACUGGCCCUAUUGGCGUGCAUCCCUACCUUUCUGAGAAACUACCCGAUACUCUUGAAUCUGAUGGCCUGUCUUACCACACCCAAAGCACACAUCACUACCCGCUCUACACUCACUCUGAUGGUGUCUGCCAUACUUCUGACAUAAAAGAUUGGUAUGAACAAGCUAACACUAACCUAGGACUUAGAGGUUAGUGCCCUAUACCUAUUGUCAUUUUUUAAUUUAGGUACUGGGGCACUGGCUAAAGAGAGUGCUAGAGAUGAAAACCAUUGAUAAAACUGAGGAUGGUUACUGCCCUUUGACUUUGGCUGAUUGAAAUUAAAACUACCCAUUCUAGCUCUCUUGUUUUCUCUCUCCCUCUCCUUUAUAUUCUACUUCUCUAUCUAUUGAGCAUAAGCUAUCAGUCUAGAAAAGUCCAUCUUAUUAAUCAGUACUCUGGUCCUACACUCCUUGACCACACUAUUAGACACGCCAAACACAAACUUACUCAUCUUGGACUUACUGUCAGCUACCACAUGAGGAACAUAUAUAGAUAACUGAGUGAACUUGAGAGAAUACUCCCUCACACUCAUGCUGCCUUGCCUCAAAUUAAUGAAUUCUAUCACCUUGUCCUCCAUCACCUCUAAUAGAAAGAAUCUGUCCAGUAAAGUCGUGACAAACUCUUUCUAUUCUGUAGGCCCUACAUCAACACCUCUAUCCACUUUCUACUGUUUAAACUAAGUAUGGGAUAUAUCCUACAAUUGAUAUGUAGACAACUCAUCACUCUAACUAGAUGUCACCCCUAUAGCAUCCAUUACCUUCUGAACCAUAUCUAAGAAUUUCUGUGGAUCCUCUUCAGACUUGGUCCCCGUGAAGGAAGAAGGAUUUAUUUAGGUAAAGUCCUGAAUUCUGGUUGGAGUAUUAUUGGCUACUGGGUUGGUCGGAAUAGCAGUUGGCCGUUCAUUCUGUGCUGCUAUGGAGUUUUCUAGAGUAGUGAACGUAGUCCUGAAUUAUGCAUGAGAGACAUGCCCAUCCAGAGGAUCUGCCUGGACGGGCUGAAGGGAUGGUUGAGUUCUUGUUCUUCUUUCGUUCUUCUUGGGAGGCAUGUUCUGUAAAUUAAAGAAGGAAACAAAUUAGACUAAAAGUUUAACUUGAGCUCAUGCUCAAUCUCAUGACAUAAAUACUAAAAGAAGGGAGACUUUUCCUAAACGCCGAGUAGCCUCUCGUCCAUAUGUGUGGCGCGCUACACACCCAUGCACAAGACUCUACUUGAUGCGGCUUUCAAACUUCCUAGGACACUUUAGAACCUUAGGCUCUGAUACCAAGUUUGUCACGACCCAAGUCUACCCCCUAGUCGUUACACAUUGCUUACGGUCCCAAGAGACCAUAAGCUAACCCAUGAGCUGUACCUGCUGUGAGCACUGAAUAAUAUAAUCAUGAAUGUGGAAGAAUAACUUAAAUACCAUAAUGUUUUAAUAAUGAAAUAGCUACUAAAUUAUGAAUCUGAUAAAAAUACUUAAAUCUGAAUCGUCUGAAUAGCUAACUGUAGUGUCUGAAAAGCCUCUAAACUAAAUACUGUGAGUUGAUGGGAUAGGCCCCUAACUAACUCUACUAACUAUUGAGAUAAAGAUAUAAAGUAAUAUAAUCUAUACUCAGAUGAUGAGGACUCACCACUGCUACUGUACUACUAAUAAUUUGAGAAUUUAGGUGCGAUCUGGGAACUGAGCAUCAGCACCUAUGAUAUGAGACAUCAUGGUGCAAAAGAAAAGUAUGUGAUCAUACUUUGAAUAUACUGAUAUACUAAAUGAGGUAGGACAUGCAAGGUUUCAUGAAUAGAAGUAAUAAACUAUCUGAAUACACAUGUAAAGCAUGGAGUACUAAGAAUAGGACAUGGAAUUCGUAGAUACUAAAAAUAUGGAGAAUCUGUAAAUACUGAGUAUGCAUGACAGUCUGUAAAUACUAAAGAUAUAUGAAAAUCUAUAAAUACUAGGGAUGCAUGACCAAGCAUAUAACAUGGACUGAGUAAUAUCUGUAAACUGAAGUACUAAAAUAACUGGUAUCUGUAUGCUUGGAUCAAACAAUACUAAAACUAAAUGACUGACUGGAGCUGUAACUAAGACUGCAUCUGAUACUGUGAGAGGUAUCAUCUAGUCGACAUUUCCCAAUUUGAGCUAAUUGGAGUCCAACCUGUAACCCCAGUUGGAAGGGUAUUAAUACUGUGCCAUGGUACUAACAAUGGCCGUGUGGAUCUACUAAAUUGAUAUAAUGUCCAAAGUACUAAGGGUGUCAAGCCUGAACUAGCGGGUGACCCCUACGAGAUAGUCAAGCCUAAUCUGACAGGUGACUACUCAUAUUCUAUGCUGGCUACAUAGUUUCAAAGUAUAGGGACUACUAUUAACAACUCUACCUAUCUGACAGGGAAACUGCCAUUCCUACACUCGCUCGAUGCUAAAUCCUACUCCCAACUGAAAGACUCUAAAAUACUAGACUUUUCUGAGUUUAACUGACUAUUCUGAUAAUGCUCAUAAUAUAAUCUAAAGUCAUUCUGAAGAUACUGCAAUGAGACUAAGUAAACAACUAUGGUUUUUGGGUAUUCAAUACCCCCAGGACUCAAAAAAAUAAUAAUGAAAAGACACUAAAGCUUAAGGGACAAAGCAUGAAGGUUUUUAUUAAAUCAAUCACUCUUAUAGGCUUUUUAUCAAACACUUGUAGUUCAUGGUUCAAAACAAUUAUAGGAAUGUCCUAAAACAUAUAGAAAUAGCAUGAAUCCGUCGUAAUAGAGCUAAAUCAUAGCUUUGUUCCAUAAAUAAUAAUAUUAAAACAUGGGAAAUUGAAUAAUAAUAAUAAUAAUUUCACGGUAACAUGGUAUGGAAUCACUAGUACAUGGAGAUUCAUGGAUGAGAACAUACUUUAAACCAAUUAACUUGAAAAGAUAAUAAUUUUAUAGUUUAAAAAGGGUUGCUUGAACUCCGUAGAUAAAAGGAAUCCAUGGAUGAACAUUUGACAUACCUGGGAUGAUGAAUUUGGAAGGAUUGAUGGAGAUUUCUCGAGGUUUGAUCUUGAUUCUUGAAAGUUAGGGUUUUUAUACUUGAGAGAAUGUUCUUGAUUUUAGGGAAAAAUUGAUUAGAGUAAUGACCAGUUAGGUUAUUAGGGACUUAAUUUGGUGUUUAGGGCUGACUGGUACAAGGGAAAAGUCCUUAAAAGCCCUUGGAAUUAAAACUCAGAACUGACUAAAAAUACUAAUUUUCUGGGCUGGUGCAGUGCUAUCGCGCCGUGUUACUGGAAUCGGACAACUGGAAAACUGGUCAUGGUGCGACGUGGGGAAAUCGCGGUCCUUCAUAGAUUGGGACCUAGAAGUUCACUGCGAUGCGGUGGUAUCGCGCUUCGAAACUGGAAAUGGACAAAUGUCAAGUUGGCCUAUGACGUGACAUGGCAGAAUCGUGGACGUUCACUAAAAUUUGCCAAAUGGGAGAUUGGCCUGCUCCGCAAUGCGCUAAAGGUUAAAAUGACGGUGUUUAACGAUUGAAAAUUUAAAUCGCCAUAACUUUUUACCUAGUUAUUGGAUUUGGGCAAAUUUUAUUUCGUUAGAAAGCUAAUUGAAUUUCCUAUGCAAUGGCAGGAUCUAAAUUGAAAAAUAAUAAGUGUUUCAAAAAUUUCUUACAUGAAUACUCAUGUAUUGGGACUUAUAUUAUGCUUUGAAAAUAUGGGGUGUAACAAACACUGUCCUAUUAUUGCGUGCCUAUUUCUCUUUACUUUUAAUCAUUCCUAGGUUUGGAUAGUGGUGUGUUGGCUAAAGAUAGUUGGUUUAGAUGAUAUUUUCUAGAAGGACGACCUAUUCCCAAUCCUAGUCCUAUGCUAAAUGAACUUGUGAUUUAUUUUUGUCCCUCUUAUUAUGAAACUCCUCUCAACCUUCUACAUAUAGAUCAUAAGUCUGCCAAUGUCGAUAUCACCAAUUAAUAUUGAUGCUCUACCCUCCUUAAUUGAAUGAUGGAAGAGCCCAGACAUAAACAUGAUCAUCAUAUUCCAUAUUAGCUACUAUAUUUAGAGUAUUGCGAUAUAGCUAAGUGAAAUUAAGGUUAUACUUCAUCAUGCCCAUCAAAACAUGCUCCAUAUCGAAGAGUUCUUAGGAAUUAUCUUAUCUCAAAUCUUAAGGAAUGAAAUGCCCCGAGAAUGCGUAACACCCCGUGUUUUUGGUCCUUGAAAAUUUCUAAAAUUUUAUCCUCACUACCUUGACUACGACUUACCCUACGAGUCAUAGGGAGUCAUAAUGAGUUGUUAGACUCAAAUCCUAACCUAAAUAGUAAGUGUGUGACUAAGUUCUUCUUUGAGUACGAGUGGCUCACUAAGAGUCGUAAGAACUUGUUACGAUUCAUUGGGUGUAAAUCGUAGGAUGUCCAAUGUUUACCCUAAAUGGGUUCUGUGUCAACUACGACUGGACCCUGCGAGUCGUAGGGUCCUAUUACAAGUCAUAAUAGUUGAGCCGUACGGUCAAUAGUGUGUGGGUCACGACUGAAUUUUAGCUUUUAAAUAGAUGGCACUUUGGACAAUUCCUUCCUUACCCAAUUAAAAAUCCCAUGUUCAUAAAACACUUAACAGGGGUUAUUUCCCAUUCAUAGCGUAAUCAAACACAUCCAAAAACUCUCUCAAGUAUCUCAAGCAACCAUACUUAGGGAUUCUAAGAGGUAGAUUAUCUAUGGACUCAAUGAUGGAAUUCUCUCCAUUAAAUUGGAUAUUUCAGGCAUGUUACUCUUUCCUAAUAGCUAAUUUGUUAAAAGCAUAUAUUUUAAAGUGUUUUUCGUAUGGUAUUCACAUUGAUCUUUGUUAAAAACCUAGGGUUGCACCACAUAGUGAGGGACCAGGUCUAUCAAAAUUAGUCGCAGGUAAAAACACAAUAAAUGAACCAGGAACUCAACAAAAUGCAGGAAACAUAAAGAACACAAGAUUUAACGUGGAAACUCCCUUGCUCAAGGGAAGAAAAACUUUGGCUUUCCCUUAUAAGCACCAACAACUCCACUAUAAUCAAACUCUUGAUUAUAGAGUUUAAUGAACUUAACUCUAGGUUCCUCCUGCUUGUAAUAACUCUACUACAAACCUAUCUUGACAACUCUGCCAAGAACAUACCUUAGUAUUGAUUAACUCUAACCAAUAUCCACCUUAGGUAACUCUACCUAAGCUCUCUCAAAGUAAGAAUAAAAGAACACUACUCUUAUAAAAUGAGUAAUUCAAUUACAAUUCAGGACUCAACUCAAGAACACUCACUUUUUUUAUUUAUAAGAAACAAAAACUUGAGCUAUACUUGAGCAAUGAAGCUAGAUGUAGUUUUUGCCUCUCUCAAUUUCUUUAAUUCUAAAUUUUGCAAAAAAUGCUUAAUAGAAAAAUAUCCUUUUUAUUUUAUAGUUUAGUAAUGAUUAGGGUUGAAAUACAGUUGGACUAGGAGGCCUUAUUAGUACAAGCAGCUCCUGCAUAGUUUGUUACACAAGAGGACAAAAUAGUGCAGAUGCGUGCCAGGUGUACUAUUGCCUUGAACAUUUAAGGACCUGGUACCUCAUAGUCAGCUACUCAUUAUCAAAACAAGAUACAAUAAUUUAACCUCUUUUUGAUGAUGAUAAACCAACCAUAAAGGUUUGAGCAUCAAUGUACAAUCAUCAUAUUUAAUCAGUGUGAUUACCAGUACUAAAGAUGAAUGUUCACCCUAUCAUGCAACACCAUACUUUCAUCAUCAUACAACUUAGGGAUCUGGUCCCUUGUUGUCGUUUGUUAUAAAAAACUCAACUCAUUGUUGCAAUUUCAAUAUUUUCUCCUGUGAAUAUGCAUAAUCAAUUCUUCCCCUUAUUAACAUGCUAUGCACACAUCUGUAAUUCAAUAUUUACACACUCGGUACCUGAUGGUUACCUGGUACCUACCAUAUGAAGUUAAUUUUCCCUCUUUUAGCAUCAUUAAAAAAUAAAAAUAGUAAACCAAGAGUAAAAUAAGCACAGGUUAGUUAACUCAUGGCCACUAGGGCAACACUAACAUGAAGAACCUCAUUAUUAGUAAGAGGAAAUACAUGCAACUCACAAAUAAAGAUUCAUUCAUAUGUAGAGGCCAAGUAUCAUUGCAGUGCAUAAUUAAAAUAUUCCAUAGAAAAUCAAUAAGAAUCAAGAAAGGUUAAACCGGAGAGGGACUUGGAAGGAUGGUUUGAAGGAGUAGAGCUAGGUUAUUGUCUUCUAUAGCAUUUGCAACAUAGUUCUAGGAGUUCAAUUCUUACACACAAUACCAAAGUGAUCAAACACUUUAUUUAACCAAUAACCAUAAGGCAUGCCAUGUUUGCUAUUUUUUCCAAGAACCACUUUAUGUAUGUGUUCCAUCAUCAAUGAAGGUAAACUAAUGAACUCAAAACUACUAAGACAUUCUAUGACAUACAAGUCAGUAGCUGAAGCAAUGUUUCUUUUUUGUAAUCUGUCAAAACUACUUUGUUUAAAAAAUCAUAGGCCAAUUGCAACUCACACUUGAGUGAUUUACUAUUCACUACAGGCACUGAUUUUUCUUUAACCUUGGAUACAGUUGCAAAAAACUCUAUUGAUUGUUGUUGCCUUGAGACAUUCCUCUCAUCACAGUAAAAUAUCCUAGGUUUUAAACCUUAGAAAAUUUCCUAUGUUUCAAGUGUUUGUUGAUCAUACGAUUUACUAUACAAGCUCUUUGGUGAGUAUGCGGGUCGUGUGACCCAAUUCAUAUAUUAACCAGUGUUUGGUGAUUGAGUUUCUUUUUUGGUUACAGUUUAGUGGUACGGGUCAUAUGGUUGUUGAUGGGUUGGUUAGUUGAUCCUUUACUUAAUCUAAAACUUGGUGAUUUGACUUGCCUUAGAGUAUGAGUGGGUUACUAAGAGUAAUACGGAUAGGGUAUGAGUGGUAUAAUCUAAAUUGUAUGUUGUCCAGUGUCCAUCCUAAAUGUUUCUACCUAGGGUACGGGUUAAAGGUAUGAAUCAUAUAUCUAUGGUAUGACUGGGUAAGGGGAGUCAUAUGGUGGAUAGUGUGUGAUGUCCAACAUCCUAUCCAGGUAUGAAUGGUGGGUACCACUUAUAUAAUGUGGGUACGAUUCAAGGGAGAGUCAUAACUUUCUGCAGGAGUAUUACAGUUUAAGUUGGGAGUAUUCUAGAUAUUUCUCCUCUUAACCCCUUAUGACCCCAUGACCUAAAAAACUAUUGGGAUAUUAUUUACUCUAUUAUUCUAAUAUUAAACACUUAGAAACUCUCUCUAAACUCUCUCAAGCUCUUGGAUUAAGUAAAGGAUAGGGUUUUUUUCAAGGUGGUCAACUAAGGCUUUAAAGGGGUGAUUUCUCUCUGUCUUCUUCAUAAUCUAAGGCAUGUUACUCCUCCCUCAUUGUUAGUUCUAUUAAAGUUAAUUUUUAUGAAUGGUUUUCAUAGCUUAAUUAUGAUAUGGUUUUGGGUUCUUAAUUAUAUGUUUGGGGUUUGGGUUACUAAUGGUUGAUUCAUGUUUUCCUAUGUUUUUACUUGUGGUUUUCAUAUUAUAAUAGUGGUUUGAACAUAUGGUUGUAUGGGAAUGGUCAAUUGUUUCUUGGUUUUAGUUUUGAAAACUAUAUGCCCUCAAUAUGUCUGUUAAAAUGCCUAUUAGAAUGCUUUUAUUACAUAGUUAGACUUUCAUUAAAAACUUUGCAUGGUAUAAUAAGGUAAUGGAACCUAAAUUGGUUAAUGGUUUUAAUGGCUAAAUUUUAAGGUCAUGGUGGCAAUGGCAUUGAUUAAAAACUUUUUGAGGUACAUGGGAAUCCCCUAAUUGAAUCUAAUAAUGGAACCUAUGGGGUAUAUAGGAAUCCCCUAGGUGAUUAGCUAAGGACAUUCCUUGCAAGUUAUAAUCGGUAUGAUGAUACCACUUCUUAUAGACCUUGUCAAUAUUGUAUGGAAUUUGUGGUUUGGUAGUAUGAUAAUGGUUUUAAUUACACAAUAAUAGUGGGUUGUUAUAGCUAAUUAUGAAGGUGUGAGUCCAAUGGACGGAUACAGAAAACUCAUAUUUGCCGACAUGAGGAUUGGUCAUAGCGAACAUAUACUUAUGGGGUACAUAUGAAUCCCCUAAGUUAAACUUGAAUAUAUGUAUCAUAGAGGGUGAAGGGGUACACAGGAAUCCCCUGCCCCUAUGAUAUCUCCGAUACAUACGGCUACAUGUACUGUGGCCCGUUCAGGGGGUAACACUGACCCAUAUAGCCUGUGGGUGGUUCUAGGAUGGUUAAGCUAUACAAACUCAGUUUAAUACUUUAAAUUCAUGCUAAACUCGGUCCCCUAUCCCUGCAUGGAUUUUAUAUAUAUAUAUAUAUAUAUACAUAUAUAUACACACACACAUACAUAUAUAUACAUAUAUAUACAUAUAUAUAUAUGAAUAUGAAUGCAUAUGGUUAUUUACUUGGUUUUAAAUGUUGGUACUAUUUUAUCCUUAUCCUGAGUACAUGUUGGUGUUCACCCACUAACUCGUAUUCAGGCGUUGCAUCCCCACGCAAUGUAGGAACCGACCAUACUACACAUCCUGCUCAGUGAUCAAAUUUAGGAAUAGCUUAGAGUUGGAGUAAAGUGGUGUGGUUCCAUACUUUGGAAGGUUCCAUUUUAUGUUAUGGUCUUGUCAUCAUACUUUGGUUAAUUUUUUGACUUUAGUUUUGGUUAUGGUCGGGGGCAUAUCCCAACUUAAUACUAUUUUACUUUUGAAUAGAGGCUUUUUGAGACUACUAUGGGUUAUUAUGGGCGGUGUCAGCAUUAGUGUUAGCCCUGGCAUUGGUAAUGGUAUUAUGGAUGAUACUGGUUGACUAUAUUUGAUUUGUGAUUGUUCCACCUUAUUAUGUUAUGGAUUGGUUAUGUGAUGGUUUUCAGUUUGGUAUUGGAUAGUUUGACUUGUUUGGGUUGUUCAUGGUUAUAGACCUAUCUAAAGUCUUGAGUGAUAUAUAACUCUAUCUUGUUAUAUGUUCAAAAUUUAUCCAACUUAGAGUAUGUGUUUGGAGGUUAGGUUGGGUAUUGGGGGUAGUCCUCAAUUUUUGUUGGAAUUGGGUUGCCUAUUAAAAUAAGGCCCUAGUGUGGGUCCUGUCAAGUUGGUAUCAGAUCCCUAGGUUUAUGGUCAAUUGAGAGUCCACAAAGUUAUGUUGAUUAGAGUCUGUUUUAAGGGUAUGCAGUAUGCCAUACUUAUAAGGGAUAGGCUAUAAGGCAUUUAGGAAUAUUUCUCUUUCUUGUGUUUUAUUUUUAAGCUUUGGAGUCUAAGUCCUGGAAUCUUCUCUAAUUCUCAUUUGUUCACUUUUUAGAUCAUGCCUCAAUGAUCUGAAGUUCAUGGAAACUCCUCCAUCUGGGGAUAAUGUUUAUGGGACAUACUCUACUCAGGGGGUCCAUACUCAAUCUAAGAGUCUAAUUCUAUAUCAUUUUAGAGUUCCAUCGGUUCCUUUUUGUCCUUCUCGGGCUCCUCAGACUAAUCUGAUGAAUGCUGAGUUUUGUCAGUCUAUUCAUAUGUUGGCCUAAUUUGUAUCUACUCAGUUUAAGCGUGGUAUUCCUGUUACGCCAUCUUUUGAGCCACGAGGGUUGGCCAGUUCAUUAGUUUGAACCCUCUGACCUUUACAGGUGCUAAGGUGGAGGAAGAUCCAUAAUAUUUUCUGGAUUAGAUGGAAAAGAUUUUUCAUAUUAUUCAUUCCAUGAAUGUGGAAGGGGUGGAGUUUAUGUCUUAACAGCUAAAAGAUGUAGCGUACCAAUGGUAUAAAGAAUAGGUACAGGCAAGGGGUGACACUGAUGAGUCAUCAUUGUGGGAGGAUUUCACUAAUACAUUCUUGGACUAUUUAUUUUCUCAAAAAUUUUAAGUUCUCUAAGUAGGGUGGUGGUCAAUAGCAGAAUGGUAGGGAUGGUGGUAAGUGACCUAAGAAGAAGUGGCGCAACUCUGGCUCUUAUUUGAAGGCUAGUGUUCCAUACUCAAAGCCUUUGGGUGAUAGGAAUUUCCAUGGUGGUGACAACUUUAGGGAAUAGGGUGCCUAAUCUCAGGCUAGUAGGGUUCAUUCGGCUCUAUCGUAUCAUUUUGGCAGGUUUUGUGGUUGUUUGUAUAGGGGUUUCUAUGAUGAGGGAAGGUAUAAGUGCUUUGGUUUUGUCAGCUAGGCCAUAUGCUUAGCAACUAUCCUAUUGGUAAGGUUACCACUAGGGUAAACAAGGUUCCAGUUGCUUCUUCUUAAUCUUUAGCACCAAAGGGUGCACCCUCUAGUUCAAGCACUAGUCGAUAUUGUCUUUAUGCUCUCACUACCCGAUAGAAAUCUGAGGCAUUGUUUAAUGUCAUGAUUGGUAUGUUGCAACUCUUUUCUUGUGUAUAUAUUAUUUAUUUGAUCUAGGGUCCACUCUCUCCUAUUGACUCCCUUUUUGGUUGUGUAUUUUAGUUUUGGUCCGAAGUGUGUUUAGACCCUUUUUCUAUUUCUACCCUAGUAGGUGACUCUGUGAUUUUAAAAGGAGUCUAUAGGGGAUGUGUGGUAUCUGUUGGUAGUAAGAAGACUUUGGUAGAUUUGUAUGAGUUCUAUAUGAUUUAUUUCGAUGUUACUUUGGUAAUGGAUUGGUUACACUCGUGCUAUGUGUCCCUAGAUUGUUGGACUCAUAGGGUCGUCUUUAAAUUUCCUAAUAAAUUUGCUAUUGAGUGGGAGGGUGGUUCCCUAGAUCCUACGGGAAAGUUUAUAUCAUAUCUUAGAGAUCAAAGAUUAAUCUCCAGGGGGUGUCUCUGUUAUGUAAUUUGGGUUAAAAAUUCUAACUCAGAGGGUCCUUCUCUGCAUUCGAUUUUGGUGGUGAAUGAAUUUCCUGAGUCUUCCCUAAUGACCUUCCUGGUGUUCCUACAAAUAGGGAAAUUGAGUUUGGGAUUGAUCUUAUUCCGGACACUCAUCCAAUUUUUAUUCCCCCAUAUAGAAUGGCUCCAGCUGAGUUGAAGGAGCUUAAGGAGCAGUUAAAGGAUCUUUUAGAUAAGGGUUUCAUCUGUCCUAGUAUGUCCCCAUGGGGUACAUCGGUGUUGUUUUUGCGUAAUAAAGACGGUUCUCUUUGAAUGUGUAUUGACUACUGCCAGUUGCAUAAGGUGACAGUAAAGAACAAGUAUUCUCUUCCAAGAAUAGAUGACUUGUUUAAUCAGUUGUAGGGUGCCAAAUUUUUUUCUAAGUUUAAUCUUCAAUUUGUGUAUCAUUAGCUUAAGAUUGGGGAAGUGGAUAUCCCUAAGACUGUUUUUCGUACCCGGUAUGAGCACUUUGAGUUCUUGGUGAUGCCGUUUGGUUUGACCAAUGCCCGACGACAUACAUGGAUUUGAUAAAUAGGGUUUUCUAUUAGUUUUUGGAUCUAUUUUUCAUUGUUUUCAUAGAUGACAUUCUAGUUUACUGUGAGAGUUAAGUGAUCAUGUCUAUUACCUCUAAGUUAUGUUGCAAACCUUGAAGGAGCAACAAUUGUAUGCCAAAUUCUCUAAAUGUGAGUUCUAGUUUAACACUGUCACUUUUCUUGGUCAUAUUAUUUCUAACGAGGGGAUCAGGUAGAUACCCAAAAGGUUGCAGUGGUUAAGAAGUGGCCUAGACCCAUGAAUCCAAUCGAUAUUCAGAGCUUCUUGAGUUUACCUGGAUACUACAGAAGGUUUGUGGAGAUCUUUUCUUCUAUAGCUACCCCGUUGACUAAAUUGACUCAGAAAAAGUUUAAGUUCCUAUGGUCGGAUGCGUGUGAGAGUAGUUUUGAGAAGUUGAAAGAUAAGCUAACUUUGGCUCCAGUUUUCACUUUGCUCGAAGGCACUGAUGGGUUUUUAGUUUACUGUGAUACAUUCUGGUAGGGGUUGGGUGCAUUUUGAUACAACAUGGUAAGAUGAUAGCCUAUGCCUCUAGGCAGUUGAAGGUGCAUGAGAGGAAUUAUCCUACUCAUGAUUUGAAAUUGCUAGGUCUGGUGUUUGCAUGAAAAAUCUGGUGUCCCUAUUUGUAUAAGGUGCAUAUGGAUAUCUUUUUCAAUCAUAAAAGCCUACAGUAUGUGUUCACUCAAAAAGAGCUUAAACUUAGGCAAAGGAUAUGGAUUGAGCUUCUCAAGGACUAUGACAUAAGUUUUUACUACCAUCCAGGUAAAGCUAAUGUAGCUGUUGAUGUUGUUAGCGGGUUAUCCAUGGGGAGUCUAGCUCAUGUGGAUAAGGAGAAGUGGGAGUUGGUGAAGGAUAUUCACUAUUUGGCUAACCUUGGAGUUUGCCUCUUAAACUCUGAGGAUGGUGGUGUGUUCAUACAUAAGGUGUCGUAGUCAUCUCUUGGUGCUAAAAUCAAGAAGAAAUAGAUGAUAGAUCUUGAUUUGUGAAGGAUAAAGGGUGAUAUUUGUGGGUAGAAGGUAGUGGCCUUCGAGAUUAAUGGUGAUUGUUACCUUGUGAUACCAAGGGAGGUUGUAUGUUCUCGAUGUUGAUGGUUUGUGAGACAGGAUCCUGGCUGAGGUACAUGAAUUGCACUAUGUUGCUCAUCUUGGUUCAGCGAAGAUGUAUCAUGACCUUAUGGAGAUGUAUUAGCGGAAUGGUAUGAAAAGGGAUGUGACUGAUUUUGUAGCCAAUUACAAGGUGUGUCAAUAAGUGAAAGCUGAGUACAUGAGUCCUGGUGGAUUGUAUCAAGAAAUUAAAUUGCCUGAAUAGAAAUGGGAAGUGAUCAACAUGGAUUUCGUUACCGGGUUUCCUUGGUCUCAGAAUUAGUUUGAUUCGAUUUGGGUCAUCAUGGAUAGGAUGACAAAGUCGGCUCACUUUUUGAUAGUAAGGACUUAAUUUUUGGAUAAGGAUUAUGCGAGUUUGUAUCUUUAUGAGAUUGUGAAUCUAUAUGGGGUGCCUGUCUCUAUCAUCUCUGAUUAUGUCACAUAGUUUACAUCUUACUUUUGGUGGUCAUUUCAAAAAGGGUUAGGGACUAAGGUGAGUUUGAGUACUGUUUUCCAUCCGUAGAUGGGUGGGCAGGCAGAGAGAACUAUUCAGACAUUGGAGGACAUGAUGCUUGCAUGUGUGAUUGACUAUGGUGGUAGCUGGGUUGAGCAUUUACCUCUUAUAGAGUUUGUUUACAAUAAUACCUAUCACUCUAGCGUUGGGAUGCUCUGUUUAAAGCCUUGUAUGGUAGGAGGUGUAGGUCUUCUAUUGGGUGGUUUGAGCUCAGUGAGGCAGAGAUAUUUAGCCUGGAUUUGGUUCACCAAUCUAUGGAAAAGGUGAAGGUGAUUUGAGAUAGACUUAAGGCUGCCCAAAGUCAUCAAAAGUCCUAUGCGUAUGUAAGGCAAAGAGUGUUAGAGUUUGAGGUUAGGGAUAGUGUAUUCUUAAAGGUGUCUCCCAUGGAGGGAGUGAUGCAGUUUGGUAAGAAAGGGAAUCUCAGUCCCCGGUAUGUGGGUCCUUACUUGGUUUAGUGAAGGGUUGGUAAGGUUGCAUAUAAGUUAGAGUUGCCUUCUAUUUUGAACUCCAUUCAUCUGGUGUUCCAUGUUUCUAUGUUGAAGAAGUGUAUGGGUGAUUCUUCUUAAAUCAUUCCUAUUAGAGAUAUUGAUAUCUCAGAUUCUUUAUCCUAUGAGGAGGUCCUAGUUGAGAUCUUGGAUCACAGGUUCAUAGGUUUUGGACCACUGAUGAAGCUUCGAGUAAAUUUCCAUAGAGGAACCAUUGGGUUGAAGAAGCUACUUGGGAAGUGGGAGAGGACAUGAUGUCCAAAUAUCCGUUUCUAUUUUCUGCUCCAGAAAUUCGUGUGGAAGGUAUUUGUUCUUCAACAUACUUUUGUUUUCAAACUUUGUUAAAGGAAAGACUGAUUUCCAUGCAUCUUAGUUUUCUAACUUAGUUAAAGAUUAGAGUCGAAGUAUUAGGGUGUAAAUCGGGCUUAUAUUGCCUUAUUCUAUCAUUCGAGGAUGAAUGUUCUAAGUGGGGGAGAAUUGAAACACCUGGGGUUUUGGUCCUUGGAAAAUUUCCUGGGUUUUGAGUCUCUAUUGAUCAUAUGACUUAGCAUACAAGCGGUAUAGUGAGGAUACAGGUUGUGUGACCUAAUUCGUCUGCAAACCAUUAUUUGGUGGUUGAGUUUCUUAUUUGGUUACGGGUUGGUUGGGUGAUCCUUCACUUAAUCUAAAACUUGGCGAUUUGACUUGCCUCUGAGUAUGAGUAGCUCACUAAAGGCCAAAAUGAUAGGUAACGAGUGGUAUGAUCUAAAUCAUAUGUUGUCCAGUGUCCAACCUAUAUAUUUCUGCCUAGGGUACGGGUGAAGGUACGGAUCGUAUGAUCAUGGUACGACUGGGUUAAGGGAAGCCGUAUGGUGGACAGUGUGUGAUGUCUAAUAUCCUGUCCAGAGUACAAGUGGUGGGUACCAUUUGUAAGAUAUGGGUACGAUUCAAGGGCGUAGUCAUACCUUCUUGUGGGAGUUUUUAAAGUUUAAGUUGGGGGGGAGGGGUGUAUUCUGAAAAUUUUGCCUCUUAACCUUUUAUGACCCCAUGACCUAAAACACUAUUGGGACAUCAUUUACCCUAUUAUUCUAAUCUUAAACACUUAGAAACUCUCUUUAAACUCUCUCAAGAUCUUGGGUUAAGCAAAGGCUAGGGUUUCCUUUAAGGUGGUCAAUUAAGGCUCUAAAGGGGUAAUUUCUCUUAGUCUUCUUCGUAAUCUAAGGCAUGUUACUCCUCCCUUAUUGUUAGUUCAACUAAAGGCAUGUUUUAUGAAUGGUUUUCAUGGCAUGAUUGUGAUAUGGUUUGGGUUUUUGAAUUAUAUAUUGGGGGUUUUGGUGAUUAACUGUUGAUUUAUGUUUCCCAUGUUUUUACUUAUGGUUUUCAUAUUAUAAUGGUGGUUUGAACAUGUGGUUGCAUGGGAAUGGUCAAUUAGUACUUGGUUUUGGUUUUGGAAACUAUAUUCCCUCAACAUGUUUAUUGCAAUGCCUUUGAGAAUGCUUUUAUUACAUAGUUGGGCUUUCAUAAAAAACUUUGCGUGGUAUAAUAAGGUAAUGGAACGUAAAUUGGUUAAAUGGUUUUAAUGGCUAAAUUGUAAGUCCUUUGUGGCCUUGGCUUUGAUUAAAAACCUUGUGGGGUACAUGGGAAUUCCCCAAUUAAAUCUAAUAAUGGAACCUGCACCGUAUAUGGGAAUCCCCUAGAUGAUCAACUAAGGAUAUUGCUUGCAAGCUAUAAUCGAUAUGGCAAUACCACUUUGUAUAGCCUUGGUUAAUAAUAUAUGGAAUCGGUGGUUUGGUUGUGCUAAUGGUUUUAAUUGGGUAAUAAUGGCGGGUUAUGAUAGUUAACUGUGAAGGUGUGAGUUUAAUGGACAGACACUAGAAGCUUAUGUUUACCGAUAUGAGUAUUGGUCAUGGUGACCAUGUACUUGUCGGGUACAUAGGAAUCCCCUAAGUUAAACUUGUAUAUAUGUAUCAUGGAGGGUGAAGGGUACACUGGAAUCCCCUGUCCCUGUGAUAUCUAUGGUAUGUUCAGCUACAAGCACUGGGCUCGUUCAGGGGGUAACACUUGAACCAUAUAGCCCGCGGGUGGUUCUUGGACGGUUAAGUUACACAAACCCAAGUUAAUGGUUUAAAUGCAUGCUAAACCCGGUCCCCUUUCUCGACAUGGAUUAUAUAUAUACAUAUGUGUGUGUGUGUGUGUGUAUGAAUGUGAAUUCUUAUGGUUAUUUACUUGGUUUUAUAUGUUUGCACUAUUUUAUCCUUAAGUACUUGUUAGCAUUCACCCGCUAACCCAUCUACGGGCAUUGUAUCCCUACGCGAUGCAGGAACCGUCCAUACUACUCCUCCUGCCCAGUGAUUGAAUUUGGGAAUAGCUUAGAGUUGGAUUGAAGUGGUGAGUUUCCAUACUCCGGUAGGCUCCAUUUCAUGUUAUUGUUUUGUCAUCAUACUUUGGUUAUUUCUUAGACUUGGGUUUUGGCUAUGGUCGAGGGCAUGUCCCGAUCGGAUGCUGUUUUACUUUUGGAUAG
rnacentral:lncRNA from 1 species